rnacentral:sRNA from 1 species
UCGAGCGCCGGAAGGGCUCGAGGAUUGAGACGGGCGCCGGGCCGGUGUCCGGCGUCCGCUCGUAUCCAUCUUGCUCCAAGGAGGAUUUGGCUAUGAGAG